GUAGGUGGCAAGCGUUGUCCGGAAUUAUUGGGCGUAAAGCGCGCGCAGGGCGGUCCUUUAAGUCUGAUGUGAAAGCCCACGGCUCAACCGUGGAGGGUCAUUGGAAACUGGGGGACUUGAGUACAGAAGAGGAAAGCGGAAUUCCAAGUGUAGCGGUGAAAUGCGUAGAGAUUUGGAGGAACACCAGUGGCGAAGGCGGCUUUCUGGCCUGUAACUGACGCUGAGGCGCGAAAGCGUGGGGAGCAAACAGGAUUAGAUACCCUGGUAGUCCACGCCGUAAACGAUGAGUGCUAAGUGUUAGGGGGUUUCCGCCCCUUAGUGCUGCAGCUAACGCAUUAAGCACUCCGCCUGGGGAGUACGGCCGCAAGGCUG
rnacentral:rRNA from 1 species